UUUUCGCACUUCUCUCCAGCUCAUUCUGAAUAUCUGACAAAAAACACGAUGCUGAAAUGCUAUUUUCCUAAAGUCAAGUCUGGUCCCACUUCUUACAACCCUCUGUGGCUUAUAUAUCCAUCCAAAGACUGCACUGCUUAGAAUCUGCCUAAUUUAGCAAACUACUAACUAAAUACCGCGGACGUGAUACUCCAGAUUUUGUAAAAUAUGUUGACUAUUGACUAUACUGACUAUAAUAUGCAUCACUAACUCUACAUAUGCCUACCCCCUUCUCCUAGAUAACCGGUGUUGCUUGUCUAGCAUUUGGAACAUCAUUCAUUAUCUUCAGUAACUGCUUUACACCGGUCAAUGUCACGGUGGCUCUGGAGUCCAUCUUGGGAACUCUGGGCAUGAGCCAAUAGAAAACUGACUGCGAUGUUGAUCCCUGGUGUGACCACGCGCACGUUCAUGAUGACAUGCAGGACCUUGUGAGGACCUGACGGAGAACUGUGCUCACUGGCGUCACCUCUCCGGAGAGCUUGUGCAAGAGGAAGAGGAAGAUAAGAUGGCCUGCAAUGGAUUGCUGGCUUUUCUACAGUAUAUUCCUGCACCAUGGCUGUCUUUUAUCAUCCACAACAACACUGACCAAGAUAAAGCGGUUAAUAAGAUGCAUAGGCCUCUGUGUUUAUGACCGUGCAUUUCAAAAUGUCUGGUUAGAUAAUCAACAAUGACAGCAAAUACAAUAUAAUUCAAGCAAACAUCCAUAACUGAGCAUCCUCUUAUUUCCCACAGCUUGCGAGUAAGAAAUGGCUCUGUGCUAUUCAUCAUAGUGAGGCUUAGCAUUUAAAACGCAACACACACCUGUAGCCAGCAUUUCAAAGAAACAUCUGAUGUCAGGCAAAAUGUGUUUUUUUUGACAAACUCAGAAAAGCCAGCAGUGUGUAGGACCUUCUCCUGCUGCAGAGCACAACUCCACAGCUGUUCCUCCUUCAGAUAAGUGAGCUAACUUUAUUAAAAUCACUAUAAACUGACAAUUUCCAUCACAUCCUGAACAUGCUCUAAAGCUAGCUAAAUAGAUUAUUAGAGCUGUGUUCAUUAGCAACUGCGCCAGGUGAUUGACGUAAGGGAAUUAGCUAGCUAGCCAAGUGUGAAAAACAUAGCUAGUGCUUUAAUGCUUACCUUAAUCAGGAAUUCGCUGUUAAUGGGCUAUUAGGAUUAGCUGUCAUUCAUGCAUUUCACUAUUUAAACAGUGUUUAAAUGGCAGUCUGAACACUACUAUUCAUUAGUGACUAUGAUGACAUAGUUGUUAAUUAAUUAAUUAUUAGUUUGUGACAGCAAGAGAAAUCCGAGAAAGUGGAUGCAUAUAGUAUGUACGCCUUACACGUGCACACACACACACACAAUAACAUUACAGUGUUUAAUGCUGCAAGGAGACAUCCCUAAUGAAGAUGUUUAAUAAUAAUUAGAGAAGAGAGAUAGAGAGUGAGACAGAGAGGCAGAGAGUGUGUGUGUGUGUGGAUGAGAGAGAGAGAGACAGACAGAGAGACAGAGUUCAUUUGUGUGUGUGUGUAUGUGUGAAAGAGAGAGAGAGAGAGAGAGAGCAAUUGCACAGCUGUCUGCUGAACAAUGCAGGGUCAUUUAUUCUAAUUUAGUAUUUAUCUGCUAAAGUAGGUGAGUUAUCAGUAAGGAGUAAAUGGAAACACAGCCAAGUGUGACGAAGGGAGUGUGCGUGCGAGAGAGUGAGGGAGAAAGAAAGAACCAGAGCGAGAAAGAGAGAGAGAAAGAGAGAGAGAGAUGAUGAUGAUGGUGAUGAUGGGUUAUGAUGGAACAUUAUCGAAUAAAACUCCCAGUCCGUUAUCAUAAUUAAAGCUGCCGAAAAUAGUUUUGUGUAUCAGGGGGAAAGGCCCUAUUCACAGUCUCCUCCAUCUUUAAGAGGAGCCUCUGAAAACUCCCCGAGCCUCACUGCACUCUGUUUGCUGCACUGAAACCUCCGUGAUGGAUGGGAGCACUUUCUGUGUGUAUGAGAAUGAAGUGUUGAGCCUUCAAAUCAAAAGGUCCAAACUUAUUGCUUACAUUUAAUAGCUCUAUACCCUCAUUCCAUUAGCUGCCUUUCCAGUCUUCAGAUGUUCUAUAGACGGUAUUUUUAUGUCCACUAACAUUUGUGACCACUGAUCGAUAAUGGACAUUUUGUGCUCUAAUUCAACCCAAAGGAUCUGAUUGUUAGCAGACUCACUGGGAGCUAAUUCUGACUGUGCUAGAGAACCACAGACAGGCUAUACAGUACAUAAACAUCCCGAGGUAAUGAAUAUUAUACCACAGCGCCGUUGAAUUCUCGAAUCUGAUUGGUCAGAAGGUGUUGACUUAUUAUUUGACAGAUAAUCACAGGUUUACAUUAAUAUGCUUGUUCUAUUAUUAUAUUGUUUCUAUAGUAGAUGCUCCUGCACAGAGACUUGAAGGGUGGAUGCUACACAUAACUUGGAGCUAUGAAGAAGGAGAAGAAUA